AUUGAACGCUGGCGGCAGGCUUAACACAUGCAAGUCGAGCGGAGAUGAGGUGCUUGCACCUUAUCUUAGCGGCGGACGGGUGAGUAAUGCUUAGGAAUCUGCCUAUUAGUGGGGGACAACAUUCCGAAAGGAAUGCUAAUACCGCAUACGCGCUACGGGGGCAAGCAGGGGAGCUUCGGACCUUGCGCUAAUAGAUGAGCCUAAGUCGGAUUAGCUAGUUGGCGGGGUAAAGGACUACCAAGGCGACGAUCUGUAGCGGGUCUGAGAGGAUGAUCCGCCACACUGGGACUGAGACACGGCCCAGACUCCUACGGGAGGCAGCAGUGGGGAAUAUUGGACAAUGGGCGGAAGCCUGAUCCAGCCAUGCCGCGUGUGUGAAGAAGGCCUUUUGGUUGUAAAGCACUUUAAGCGAGGAGGAGGCUACCUGGAUUAAUACUCUAGGAUAGUGGACGUUACUCGCAGAAUAAGCACCGGCUAACUCUGUGCCAGCCGCCGCGGUAAGAC
rnacentral:rRNA from 1 species